GGAAUAUUGGUCAAUGGAGGCAACUCUGAACCAGCCAUGCCGCGUGCAGGAAGACGGCCCUAUGGGUUGUAAACUGCUUUUAUCUGGGAAUAAACCUACUUACGUGUAAGUAGCUGAAUGUACCAGAAGAAUAAGGAUCGGCUAACUCCGUGCCAGCAGCCGCGGUAAUACGGAGGAUCCAAGCGUUAUCCGGAUUUAUUGGGUUUAAAGGGUGCGUAGGCGGCCUGUUAAGUCAGAGGUGAAAGACGGUAGCUCAACUAUCGCAGUGCCUUUGAUACUGACGGGCUUGAAUAAACUAGAGGUAGGCGGAAUGAGACAAGUAGCGGUGAAAUGCAUAGAUAUGUCUCAGAACACCGAUUGCGAAGGCAGCUUACUAUGGUUUUAUUGACGCUGAGGCACGAAAGCGUGGGGAUCAAACAGGAUUAGAUACCCCAG
rnacentral:rRNA from 1 species